GAUGAACGCUGACAGCAUGCUUAACACAUGCAAGUCAACUUGAACUUCGGUUUGGGUGGCGGACGGGUGAGUAACGCGUAAAGAACUUGCCUCACAGCUAGGGACAACAUUUGGAAACGAAUGCUAAUACCUGAUAUUAUGAUGAUAUGGCAUCGUAGAAUUAUGAAAGCUAUAUGCGCUGUGAGAGAGCUUUGCGUCCCAUUAGCUAGUUGGAGAGGUAACAGCUCACCAAGGCGAUGAUGGGUAGCCGGCCUGAGAGGGUGAUCGGCCACAAGGGGACGGAGACACGGCCCUUACUCAUACGGGGGGCAGCAGUGGGGACUUUUGGCCGAUGGACCGAGAGUCUGAUGCAGCAAUUCUGUGUGCACGAUGAAGUUUUUCGGAAUGUAAAGUGCUUUCAGUUGGGAAGAAAAAAAUGACGGUACCAACAGAAGAAGUAACGGCUAAAUACGUG
rnacentral:rRNA from 1 species